GUGUUUUGCUGGAGAUCUUUCCCUAUCUGAGGCCUUCUGAAGGACCAGAAGAACAGAGGCAUUGGAAGCCAAGUCUGCACAACACAGAGUGGGACACAUGGAGAACCUUGCUAUACAGUACAUCUAGACUCUUUUCAGUAGUGCCCAGUACCAGGACAAGAAGUGAGCGAAAACUGGAACAUAGGAGUUUCCAUCUCAACUGUCAUCUAUGAUUCUGUGAUCUGGAAGAAAUUAUGAUACUUGCAGAAAUGGAAAAGCAGUAAGGCUUGGCACCAGACUCCAGUGAAAUGAACAGAUUCCAGGUGAACAUGAUGAGAACACAAUCUAACAAACAGCCAUGCUUUGGCUGCCUGCUCUGAUAACAGCAGCUGCUUGGAAAACUAAGCUGCUUCACAAUUGAAAGAGUGUUGAAAGAAAUCUUUUUCAAAAUCAAGAGUGGAGGAUUUAUCAGUCCAGACUCGGAGAAUAUAGUGCAUGUUGUCCAGCUGUCACAUCACAAAGCUGAGAAGAAGACAUGCAAAAUGAAGAUGUAGGCACAAAGGCUGAAGGCAGAUGGGACCUGUAGUGAACUGCUGUGCUUGUGUUUCUUUCUGUUACUAAAAGGAAUUUGUUACGCUAGUGAUUUUAAAUGAUUUGUGGCUGACAGUUUUAGGUUUAAUAAUAGUAAACCAGACAACAUCUGGCAUGGUGAAAUAAAAUUAUUUGAUAUGUAACUUAGCUCACACCCCCAACACACACACACAAAUGAAAAUUAAUGUGCAAAUAAGAAACUUUUUUUGAAGUACAUAUUGAGCCAUCAUUUUUAAUGGAUAACAGAAGAACAUGGGAUGAAGAUUUUUUCCUGAAGUUUUAUUACAUAAUUAAUCCAAAUUUCUUUGUGUAAUUUGGAAGCUUAUAAUGAGAACAGGUAUUAUUCCUCCCCAGAUAUUACCAUCUUUUAAAGAUUUUUUUUAAUAUUUGUGUUAGUAUUAUGGUUAUUUCUGCUUUAGUUCUUCUUCUGAUGCCUUCUUGAAUGGGCAGUGUCAAGGCCAUGUUCAACAAUGGCAAAUCACAAAAAAAUAUUUUUUUCAUAAAGUCAUAAAUUCCUCUUCAUGAACUGCAAAUGAGUCUGUACAUGAAAAUGUGGUGCUCAAAUUCAUUGAUAAUGAGAGUAUACCUCACUGGAGUUUUUACCAUAUUACCUAAAAUGAAUGCGUGCUUUAAGACGUGUGAUUGGCUGAAUGACUCUGUAUUUCUGUGUGGCUGUGUGCAUGAAUACACAUGCAUGUGUACAGUUAUUUUAACUGGGAAUGUAAAGGCUCUAGAGGUGAGUCCGAAAUAGCAUAGAAGUCUACUCUUAUUUUGAUUAAAUAAAAUAUUAUUGCUCACAAUAUCUGUGAAAGAUCUUAAAGGUUGCUUGAAGUCAUUUUUAAAUGUUGCGCAUAUU